rnacentral:tRNA from 1 species
GUUCUUAUAGUUGAAUUACAACGGUGGUUUUUCAUAUCAUUAGUCAUGGUCAAAAUCCAUGUAGGAAUU